rnacentral:lncRNA from 1 species
UUAGAUGAUUAGGAAGACAAUGUAGUUCUUUACAAUGAGUAGGGGCUCUGCAGGGGACUUACUUGGGUAGACCAUGGUUUGAAUCAGUUCACUUUCACAUUAGGCUACAGUACUGGCCUGGAGGCCUUACCAGUGAAUACCUUGGAGGGGGUUGGAGGAGGGUCUUCAACUGCAACAGCCUUAAACAUAAUUUUAGAGAGAUUUCUUCAGCUCUGACUAGUUCAGUUUUAAUUGAAAGAAAGUUUUUUUUCCUUUUGAAAUAUUAAAACAAAAAGCCUUUAGAACGUGAUAUUUAUUUUUAACAAAUGGUUAUAAAGCAGCUCUUUUUAUUUUUUUUAUAUUUUUGUCUUUUUUGCUAUUUCUUGGGCCGCUGCUGCAGCAUAUGGAGGUUCCCAGGCUAGGGGUCGAAUCGCAGCUGAUCCGGCGUUGCCUUGAGCUGCGGUGUAGGUUGCAGAUGAGACUUGGAUCCCAAGUUGCUGUGGCAUACAUAGGCUUCGAUCAGGCCCCUCUCCUGGGAACCUCCGUAUGCUGUGGGUGCGACAGUAGAAAAGACAAAGAGUCACACACACACACACACACAAAAGUAAACAGAACUGUUCACUUUUUAUCAUUAUCAUUUUUCUUAUAGCCAAAUGUUGAAUUACAGGCAUGGACAGUGGUCCCAUUUUCCCCCAAAUACUUGGACCUUUUUCUAAGCCUCUUCUUAAGAUCGAAUAUGUAAAUAGAAAUUAAUAAAUAUCAGACUGGAGAAUAGAAAUCUUACUCUUACAAACUGAGUAUUUUUGUCCCCCCCAACCCAGUUCAUAUAUCGAGGUCCUAACCCCCAACAUGAUGGUGUUAGGAGGCAUUAUUUGGUGGGGUUUGUCAGAGGUGGUUUGGUUGAGAUGAGGUCCUGAGGGUGGAGCUCCCGUGAUGGGAUUAGUGUCCUUCUAAUAGGAGGAAGUUCCUUUCUCCACCACAUGAGUAUACAGCAAGAUGUUCGCCUCCUGCAGGCCAGGAAGACUUUUGCCAAUAGCUAAAUCUGUGGGCACCUUGAUCUUGGACUUCCCAACUUCCAGAACUGUGAUAAAUAAAUGUCUGUUGCUUAAGCUACCCAGCCUAUGAUUUUUUGUUUUGUUUGUUUGUUAUAGCACCCUGAGCUUACUAAUACUCUUAGCUUAUGACAAAAUCUCUUUCCAAACAUAGGGACCAAACUGCAGCAGUGGUGAGAGCAGGUAAAGGAGAAGAGCCUGAGCAGAGAGGGGAAGAGAGGUCAUGGUCAAGGCACAGAUGCUUUUUAACUAUUUUAUCCCCAAAUAGUCCAUCCCACUUAGUCUCAUUUUUCUUUGAUGAAAAGUAGUGAGAUGGCCUCACCUAAAGGCAAGGGGCUGGGAAAUGGAGUUCCUGGCUGAAUAGUCACUUUUCAGUAACAACUUGACACUCUGGAAAGGAGCACACGCCUUUGGUGGCAGCACAUUGUAUAUGCUACUUUAAACUUAGAAGAUGCUUUUUUUUACAGCUAUAUACUCUUUAAAUAUUGAGGUCACUUUAAAUUAUGAGGGUUUUUUGCCUAAAUAUAAUCAGUUCAGUUGACCAGCCAAUUAACUGAUAGAAGUCAGUCCACUUGGUUGUUUGAAUUUAACGUUCUUUGGUUCUACGGAAUGGUUACUUUGGCAUAAAAAGUUUGUGCGGGAGUCCUGAGUAGUUAUCAUCACAUUGCAGCUAGUGUAAAAUUUUUCUUUGUUACUACAUUUAUUUUUCUAGACAUUGUCAUCUUCCCUGAUUUACUUUCCCAAAUUCCUUUUAGAUAGCUCCAUUGUCCUAGGUUAUUCAGUAGAGUGCUUCUUUCAGAGCUUAGCUAAGAGUAAACCAGCCAGGUUUGUCUCAGCAUUUUCAACACAAUUUAGUUUGCAUAUUUUAUUUUUGCUGUCAAUACCUAAUGGGGUCCAUCCUGCAGAUCUCUCAUUUUAUUUAUUUAUUUUAAAAAAUUGUGUUUAUUUAUUUAUUUUGCUUUUUAUGGCUGCACCUGCAGGAUACGGAAGUCUCCAGGCUAGGAGUUGAAUUGGAACCGCAGCUGCUGGCCUAUGCCACAGACACAGCAAUGCAGGAUCCUUAAUCCACUGAGUGAGGCCAGGGAUCCAUCCUGCAUCCUCAUGAAUCCUAGUCCAGUUUGUAACCCACUGAGCCACAGUGGGAACUCCCAGGGAUCUCUUGUUUUUAACAAAACUCAUGUAGUCCUUUGUUGAUGGUCAGACUAUUAGUUGUAUUGAAAAGAUAUCUUAAAAAACCAGAGCAUAUUACUGCAGAUUUUUAAAGGGAAUUUUUAAUUUUAUCUCUAUUUCUUAGGCUUUCAAUCUGUAUUUUUCUAUCUUUGAUUUUAGGGUGUUAUCUCAGGCUUACAUGAAAUGCCGAGCAAUAUGCUUUUAUAAAGUCAGCCUCAAUUUGGCAAAAGUCUCCACAGUUGGAGAAAUUUGGAGUUGAACGCUUAACAUUGAUUAUGCACUUAUAGUUAAGAUGCAAGAAUUCAAUAAAGUGAUCCAUAGACAAAUAUAAAUGAGUGCCUUUUCUAAGCUUUGUGAAGCCUGCACAAAGAAAGGAGUGAUUGCCUCCAAGGAACUUAUACUCUGGAACUUAAUCACAGCACCAGGCACAGCAGAUUUGGUGGAGAGGACAAGACGUAUGAAAAAAAAAAAUGUUAAACUAGCAACCAAAGAGAGCCCUAAUAAAGGCCUCAUGAGUAGUGUGGGAGAUCACUUCUCCAGGUGUUCAGUACAGAGAGGGAAUCCAUCAUAGUUUGAAGCAAGUGAGAAGAAAACACAGUGUGAGUCUUUAGGAUGGGUCUAAAGGGAAGAUGUGGUUGUUGGGAAGUAAGGAAGUGGCCGUCUCAAAAAGGGAUAUACAUAAGCAAAAUUGUAGAAUCUAGAAUCCAUAUGAAGUUUUAGAGUAACUGUGAAUAGAUUUUUCUACAGGGAACUGAGGGUUAGUGAAUGAAAAUAGCAGUCAAAAUGUUGGAAAGAUAGGUUGCUAUCAGAUUGUGGAGAGCUCUAAAUGUCAAUUUGAUAAGUGUGGCCUUUAUUUUAUAUUCACUUGGGAACCAUUGGAGAUUUGGGUAUGAUCUAUUUAUUGACAGCAACUUGGAGCCUAAAUUUGUGCCUAGCUUCAGAUUUAUCUCCCAAGCCAGGAUUUCAAAAGUUAUUACAAUUUAAAGCACACUGAUGUUGGCCACUCACCAGACGCCACCCUCUGUUUUACCUCCAGUAUACACAGUGAAUAAGUAAGCUGCCACAAGAAGAUUGCUUUCUCCUACUUUAUCAAGACACAGUGAUCUUUUUCAUUUUGGGCAUCUGUCCAAGAAGACGCAGUGUCCUAUUACAAAACGGAAUCUGAGGGGUGUGAGGAGUGUACAUAUAUUUCUCCUUUGAACUUUGAAGGAGAUUGUUUACUGUUAACAUAAAAAUAAGACUUCUCACAAAUCAUCAGCUUUUAAGAAAAAUGACCUAAACCUUGUGAGCUACUCUGCCUCUUGGACAAAUAUAAAUGGAAUUGAUUGGGGCAAAGCUCUUGACUACAGAGUAUUAAUGAAUAACCACCUGCAAAGCUUGUUGCACUUCUGGGUUUUGUAUAUAUGGUUUGCAAUUGCAACCAUGUGGCAAAUGCACGAAGUUGACCAUAUUAAUACUGAGUUUAUCUACACCAUCUGCUGUCAUAUUAACAUCUUUUUGCUUCAACAUAGCACCCUCUUCUUCUUAGAUAUGUUCUGUUAUUUCUUCUUUUCUUUCUUUGUUUCAAGUCAUCCCACUGAUAUAUGCACCAUUUCAGGAUAUCAAAGAAGGAGGCUUUCAGUGACAGGGUGGUGGAUGGCAAGGACAGGUGGGCAGAGGAAUCAGGAUAAUAAAAAGUCAUAAUUCAUGGGCCCAGAAAACUGUGUAUAAAGGUGAGCCUUGAGGUAAGAAAGUAUACGGAGGAAGCAUGAGAGAGACAUGAGAGCGUAACUGGGGAUUAACAAGCGCACCAGAAAUAGCUGAGAGGAGUCGAGCAAAUGAGGAUCAGAUGUAUACAGGGUGAUGGCAGAGCAGCUCACAGAGAUUAAGCUGGAAUUAUUCUGUUCAUUGGACAGAUCAAUUUUCUUUUCUUUUCUUUUUUCGCUUUUUAGGGCCACACUUGAGGGAAAUACUUCAAAUUUUUGGCAACACAUUACAACAGCAGUAACUCCAAGUAACUUUCUGAAAUAAGGGAUCAACAGGUGAAGCCUUCCUUUCACUUUAUUCUUAAAUCAUAGCCAUGAUUAACUUGUACAAGCCACAUUUUUUUUUUGGUGUUUUAGUUUGUUUCCAAAGCACUAUUCCACUUCAUUUUUUCACUUAUCCUCACAAGGUAGCUGUGAGUUAGCUUAGCAUCAUCAGUGAAACCUCCUGGCUCCCUACUCUUAGCCUAUUUUAUUAGAAAAUAGUGACUUUAAUUGUGUGUGUAAGGUGAAAUUUUUUUCUAUUAAACAGUCAACAGAUUUUUAGAACAAUGGCUAUAUUUCAGGAAGUGCUUAGAAUUCCAAAGAAUAGAAAGGUAUGGAAAAGAGCAAAAAUGUGUAUUCAGUCUGAGUCAACAGGAUUCACCUGGGUACUAUUUGAGCUUUUGGUCCCUGAAGCCAUGGGUCAGUGAUACAGAUAGAGACACUCAUCUCUGACAAAGAAAAGCAUGGAUGCUGGCAUGGGAGGACAUAGCUCCUUUUCUUUCAAUCCUAGAUCAAAUUUAAACCUGUGAUUCUGGAGCUUACUCAUCAGAGGAGAAAUAUCAAGAGCUAUUUGCUCUCUCUGCUGUAACACAGCUCUGGCAAGCCUGGAAGUUAUGUUGAGAUCGUCAAAUCUAUAGUCAAGGACCAUCUUUGUGAAUCAUGAAACCAUAUGC